rnacentral:rRNA from 1 species
UACGUAGGUGGCAAGCGUUGUCCGGAAUUAUUGGGCGUAAAGCGCGCGCAGGCGGUCUCUUAAGUCUGAUGUGAAAGCCCACGGCUCAACCGUGGAGGGCCAUUGGAAACUGGGAGACUUGAGUGCAGAAGAGGAGAGUGGAAUUCCAUGUGUAGCGGUGAAAUGCGUAGAUAUAUGGAGGAACACCAGUGGCGAAGGCGACUCUCUGGUCUGUAACUGACGCUGAGGCGCGAAAGCGUGGGGAGCAAACAGG